rnacentral:rRNA from 1 species
UUGCAGUUAAAAAGCUCGUAGUUGGAUUUCGGAGUGGGCCAGUUGGUCCGCCGCAAGGUGUGUUACUGACUGGUCUGCUCUUCUUCGCAAAGACUGCGUGUGCUCUUUGUUGAGUGUGCGUAGGAUUUACGACGUUUACUUUGAAAAAAUUAGAGUGUUCAAAGCAGGCUAUUGCUUGAAUACAUGAGCAUGGAAUAAUGGAAUAGGACUUUGGUCCCAUUUUGUUGGUUUCUAGGACCGAAGUAAUGAUUAAGAGGGACAAUUGGGGGCAUCCGUAUUUCGUUGUCAGAGGUGAAAUUCUUGGAUUUACGAAAGACGAACAACUGCGAAAGCACUUGCCAAGAGUGUUUUCAUUAAUCAAGAACGAAAGUUAGAGGAUCGAAGACGAUCAGAUACCGUCCUAGUUCUAACCAUAAACGAUGUCGACUAGGGAUCAGCGGGCGUUAUCGUACGACCCCGUUGGCACCUUACGGGAAACCAAAGUUUCUGGAUUCCGGGGGAAGUAUGGUUGCAAAGCUGAAACUUAAAGGAAUUGACGGAAGGGCACCACCAGGAGUGGAGCCUGUGGCUCAAUUUGACUCAACACGGGAAAACUUACCAGGUCCAGACAUAGUAAGGAUUGACA